GACGAACGCUGGCGGCGUGCUUAACACAUGCAAGUCGAGCGGAAAGGCCCUUUCGGGGUACUCGAGCGGCGAACGGGUGAGUAACACGUGAGUAAUCUGCCCUUGGCUUUGGGAUAACCACCGGAAACGGUGGCUAAUACCGGAUAUGACGGGCUCCGGCAUCGGGGUUCGUGGAAAGUUUUUUCGGCCAGGGAUGUGCUCGCGGCCUAUCAGCUUGUUGGUGGGUAAUGGCCUACCAAGGCUUCGACGGGUAGCCGGCCUGAGAGGGUGACCGGCCACACUGGGACUGAGACACGGCCCAGACUCCUACGGGAGGCAGCAGUGGGGAAUAUUGGACAAUGGGCGGAAGCCUGAUCCAGCAACGCCGCGUGAGGGAUGACGGCCUUC
rnacentral:rRNA from 1 species